rnacentral:rRNA from 1 species
CCAACAGGGAUUGCCUCAGUAACGGCGAGUGAAGCGGCAAAAGCUCAAAUUUGAAAUCUAGCACUUUCAGUGUUCGAGUUGUAAUUUGAAGAAGGUAACUUUGGUUUUGGCUCUUGUCUAUGUUCCUUGGAACAGGACGUCACAGAGGGUGAGAAUCCCGUGCGAUGAGAUGCCCAAUUCCAUGUAAAGUGCUUUCGAAGAGUCGAGUUGUUUGGGAAUGCAGCUCUAAGUGGGUGGUAAAUUCCAUCUAAAGCUAAAUAUUGGCGAGAGACCGAUAGCGAACAAGUACAGUGAUGGAAAGAUGAAAAGAACUUUGAAAAGAGAGUGAAAAAGUACGUGAAAUUGUUGAAAGGGAAGGGCUUGAGAUCAGACUUGGUAUUUUGCGUUCCCUUCCUUUUUGGUUGGGUUCCUCGCAGUUUACUGGGCCAGCAUCGGUUUGGAUGGUAGGAUAAUGACAUUGGAAUGUAGCUUUACUUCGGUGAAGUGUUAUAGACUUUGUUGAUACUGCCUAUCUAGACCGAGGACUGCGUCUUUGACUAGGAUGCUGGCGUAAUGAUCUUAAGCCGCCCG